rnacentral:rRNA from 1 species
UGGGGAAUAUUGCGCAAUGGGGGGAACCCUGACGCAGCCAUGCCGCGUGAAUGAAGAAGGCCUUAGGGUUGUAAAGUUCUUUCGGUAUUGGGGAAGGUUGAUGUGUUAAUAGCACAUCAAAUUGACGUUAAAUACAGAAGAAGCACCGGCUAACUCCGUGCCAGCAGCCGCGGUAAUACGGAGGGUGCGAGCGUUAAUCGGAAUAACUGGGCGUAAAGGGCACGCAGGCGGUUAUUUAAGUGAGGUGUGAAAGCCCCGGGCUUAACCUGGGAAUUGCAUUUCAGACUGGGUAACUAGAGUACUUUAGGGAGGGGUAGAAUUCCACGUGUAGCGGUGAAAUGCGUAGAGAUGUGGAGGAAUACCGAAGGCGAAGGCAGCCCCUUGGGAAUGUACUGACGCUCAUGUGCGAAAGCGUGGGGAGCAAACAGGAUUAGAUACCCUGGUAGUCCACGCUGUAAACGCUGUCGAUUUGGGGGUUGGGGUUUAACUCUGGCGCCCGUAGCUAACGUGAUAAAUCGACCGCCUGGGGAGUACGGCCGCAAGGUUA